rnacentral:rRNA from 1 species
AACGAACGCUGGCGGCAUGCCUAACACAUGCAAGUCGAACGAGACCUUCGGGUCUAGUGGCGCACGGGUGCGUAACGCGUGGGAACCUGCCCUUAGGUUCGGAAUAACUCCCCGAAAGGGGUGCUAAUACCGGAUAAUGUCUUCGGACCAAAGAUUUAUCGCCUUUGGAUGGGCCCGCGUUGGAUUAGCUAGUUGGUAGGGUAAAAGCCUACCAAGGCGACGAUCCAUAGCUGGUCUGAGAGGAUGAUCAGCCACACUGGGACUGAGACACGGCCCAGACUCCUACGCGAGGCAGCAGUGGGGAAUAUUGGACGAUGGGCGAAAGCCUGAUCCAGCAAUGCCGCGUGAGUGAUGAAGGCCUUAGGGUUGUAAAGCUCUUUUACCCGGGAUGAUAAUGACAGUACCGGGAGAAUAAGCUCCGGCUAACUCCGUG